rnacentral:rRNA from 1 species
GACGUAGGGCGCGAGCGUUGUCCGGAUUUAUUGGGCGUAAAGAGCUCGUAGGCGGCUUGUCGCGUCGUCCGUGAAAACUCACAGCUCAACUGUGAGCUUGCGGUCGAUACGGGCAGGCUAGAGUUCGGUAGGGGAGACUGGAAUUCCUGGUGUAGCGGUGAAAUGCGCAGAUAUCAGGAGGAACACCGGUGGCGAAGGCGAGUCCCUGGACAAUACCUGACACUGAGGCACGAAAGCUAGGGGAGCAAACAGG